UCCAAAUCAUAUUUAAUGUAAGCUCACGUAUCCAUGACAUAUUAAUAAUUUACCCAAUUCAUUAUAUUAAUAUGUAGUACAAACAUGUUCUUAUCACGAAAAUUUAUAUUUAUUUGGUCAUUCUGGGUAAAUCUGGCCGUAACAAUAAUAUGUAUUACUUUGAGAAUAAAAUACACAUGAUGAAUUAAUAACAAACGUUGUUUAAAAUAACAAAUCAUAACAUUUUUUUGUAAGUUAAAAAAUAUAUCUGAAACAUAAAACGUAAAAAAAUUUAAAACUAUUUAUAAUGACAUACAAAUCAAUAGAUAAGUAGUUCAAUUCUAACAAUGACUUUUUUAUAUCAUUAAAGUGUUAUAAUAAAAAUAUAUGUGCAACACUCGGUUGUCAUAAUAUGACAACUGUAUCAAUUCUGUGAACAUAUUUAAAAUUCCAGUUGUUCAUAAUAUUAUAAUAUAUACAAAAAAAAAAUUGAAAUAUCAAAAACAAAUAGCUGUCAAACAUUACGAAUGAUAUUAAUUAUUUCGGAAAAUGUAUUGGUGUUCAAUCAAAAAUCAAAAAUAAAUUUCCACAUACAAUUUUUACACAAAAUGUGGCUCAAAAAAUAAAUCAUGUUAUUGUAAAUGUCUAAAUUGGUGAAGAAACAUAGUUUUAAUGAUUGUGAUUGUGAACAAACUUGGCAAUAUGUAACAAUUUAAAAUGACACGUUAAGAAAAUUAGCAAAAUUAAUUAAUGGUUUAAUAAAAGUACUCAUUAAUUAGUUCA